rnacentral:lncRNA from 1 species
GUUACUUGGACUUUGGCUUGAGAGAGUCUGAUUGAGCUCGACAGAGAUACGCUGCAUACUCGGUUGGGUAGCUCCCACGAGUGCCACUCCGGAGACGGGCGCUGUGCUUUCGCGUUGGUGUCGUGCAUGCCGGUUAGACUUGCUCUUCACAGACUGGAUAGUGUGGAGGUAGCUGGAUAGUCUCAACUAGGCGGGACGGGUGUGUUCACAGUACCUGGGAUGGGUAUGUUUACAGUCCCUAAAGAGAUUGGGUCAGAAUUGACAUUUCUACAGUAGGUUAGCUUAGAGCAUGAUAGAGUAAUAAAUGGUAACUGUAGAUUUUAUUCCAGCAUUUAUUACUACCUUUGCUCCCUUCUGUAGACUUAGUGGGUGGACCGAUAAUGUUGAGGGCGGCACCCACUGAGGACUACUUGUUUUUACAGUAGUUCUCAUGCCCUGUUAUUACCCCGUUUUUUGCAGAGCCAUCGUCUUCGGCUGCUGCUGUUGCUGAUCAGGAUUGAGGCAAGGGCGUCGCGAGUUAGAGCCCUACCCGACG